rnacentral:lncRNA from 1 species
CAGCCUUCGCCCAGAGCAGCGUCUGCUAGUUACCUUUCACCUACUUCGCUGCGACUCGCCGCGCGGGGUAACUCGAGGUCAGACUCGGGGCCCCGCGCGCUUGCGCGCCGCCCGCUGCCCGCCGCCCGCCGCGGCUGGGAGUCCGGAGGUUUCAUCUUGUGAUGGUUUCGGUUCGGCUCUCAAAUGGAGGGUGUGAGCUUUGCAGACGUGCCCUAAUUCUGGGUCUGGCGGGGCGACAUUGGGCCCUCUGAGCUGCCACCCUGGCCCUGACGCCCCAUUACUCCUCGUUCCUUCCUCCCCCCAUCUGUUGUCACGCUCUCCCUUUUCCCACAGCUGGCCCCUAUUCAGCUGUGCCGAUUGCCCCACAUCCCUUCUUCCUGCAAAAGGCAGAUGGGAAGGGAGCUCUGUCUGGCCUAUUCCGGACAGAGCUCCGGGCUUCCGAGUGGAGCAUGAGCCCGCGGAAGAGCCACAUGGCUACGUUGAAGACAGCUGGGGCUGCCGCACGCCUCGGGGUUACUGUCGGGCACCCGGCGGGCGGGGCCGGCGCUGGGGCGGGGGAGGGCUUCCUCGCCCUCAGAAACCACAUUCGCAGAAACGUUUUUAACUGGCAAGGUUUCGAGUUCCCAACCACAGCACCCUCAGUGAUGGUUUUCAGAAGACCUUGUUAGCUCCUCUCCUCCAGAGACCCAUCCUUCGCUGACAUCCCACCGAUUUGGGAGCAGGAAAAAACAGACUCCUGCAAAAUACCUCUUCUUCCAGUGCCCUGUACCCCUCUCUACUUACUUCGAGUCCCUGCAGUCCAGCAACAACCCCAAACGAGUGAAGGGAGGAGACAUAGGUUUGUCCAGGCUCUGCCACCGACGGGUGAUUUGGGAUGAGUCCUUCUCCAGUAUCAUUAUCUUCAACUGUAAAACAUGAGGGUUAGUCCGAAUGAUCUCCAAACGCUUCAGCAUUAAAGUUAGGUGAUGAAUCCUAAGAUUUUGCAGUUCUAUAAUGUCACAUCUCCUCCGUUUCAGAGAGGGCCCGCAGGGAAUCUUGUUAAGGAUAACUGCCAUCGAAGUUACAAGUUUGUUCUGUGAUUGAAGAGUUUCAGGAUACAGUGAGAAGGUACCAUCUAUGAAUCAGAAAGUGGGCCCUCAUCUGAACAUGACCAUGCUGGCACCACGAUCUUGGACUUCUCAGCCCCCAGAACUGUGAGCAACAAAUUUCUAUUGUUUAUAAAUUACCCAGCAUAAGAUAUUUUGGUAUGGCAGCCUGAAUGGACUGAGACACUAGGAAAAAGGAAGAGAGAGAAAGAUUAAGGAAUUCAGCAGGAGGCCAGAUCUUAAAAUGUGGACCUGGUCCAAGGCCUUAAAGAAUAGAGAUGACUGAUACUGAAUUUAAAAUUGAUUGGGUUCUGGGAGGCGGAGAUUGUGGUGAGCCGAGAUCUCACCAUUGCAUUCCAGCCUGGGCAACAAGAGCGAAACUCCAUCUCAAAAAAUAUAUAUAAAUAAAUAAAAUAAAAUUGACGGUUUUUUUGUAAUGUAAAACCUCCUUUUUUCCAAACUUU